CAGAAAAUAAUUUAAAUAUAAAAUAUAAACUUUGGGAGUUUAAAAUGAUUUUUUUAUCUUUUCUGA
rnacentral:tRNA from 1 species